AUGAACGCUAGCGGCAGGCUUAAUACAUGCAAGUCGAACGGUAACAGGUCUUCGGACGCUGACGAGUGGCGCACGGGUGAGGAACACGUACACAAUCUACCUUAUACUGGAGAAUAGCCCCGGGAAACUGGGAUUAAUACUCCAUAGUCUUUAAUGAUCACAUGAGAAAUAAGUAAAGCUUCGGCGGUAUGAGAUGAGUGUGCGUCCCAUUAGAUUGUUGGUGAGGUAACGGCUCACCAAGUCGACGAUGGGUAGCUGGCGUGAGAGCGCGACCAGCCACACUGGCACUGAGACACGGGCCAGACUCCUACGGGAGGCAGCAGUAGGGAAUAUUGGUCAAUGGACGAAAGUCUGAACCAGCCAUGCCGCGUGGAGGAUGACUGCCCUCUGGGUUGUAAACUCCUUUUAUAUGGGAAGAAACCUCUGGAUUCACUCCAGAGCUGACGGUAUCAUAUGAAUAAGCACCGGCUAACUCCGUG
rnacentral:rRNA from 1 species